rnacentral:rRNA from 1 species
GCACAAGCGGUGGAGCAUGUGGCUUAAUUCGAUGCAACGCGAAGAACCUUACCUGGUUUGACAUGGCCGCAAAACUUCCAGAGAUGGGAGGUCCUUCGGGGGCGGUCACAGGUGGUGCAUGGCUGUCGUCAGCUCGUGUCGUGAGAUGUUGGGUUAAGUCCCGCAACGAGCGCGACCCUCGUCCCAUGUUGCCAGCAAUUCGGUUGGGGACUCAUGGGAGACUGCCGGGGUCAACUCGGAGGAAGGUGGGGAUGACGUCAAGUCAUCAUGCCCCUUAUGUCCAGGGCUUCACGCAUGCUACAAUGGCCGGUACAAACCGUUGCGAGCCCGUGAGGGGGAGCGAAUCGGAAAAAGCCGGUCUCAGUUCGGAUCGGGGUCUGCAACUCGACCCCGUGAAGUCGGAGUCGCUAGUAAUCGCAGAUCAGCAACGCUGCGGUGAAUACGUUCCCGGGC